AGUGGCGGACGGGUGAGUAAUGCUUAGGAAUCUGCCCAUGUAGUGGGGGACAACCUGGUGAACAACCAGGCUAAUACCGCAUAAGCCCUUCGGGAGGAAGGCAGGGGAUCUNNCGGACCUUGCGNUAUUGGAUGAGCCUAAGUCGGAUUAGCUUGUUGGUGGGGUAACGGCCUACCAAGGCGACGAUCCGUAGCUGGUCUGAGAGGAUGAUCAGCCACACUGGGACUGAGACACGGCCCAGACUCCUACGGGAGGCAGCAGUGGGGAAUAUUGGACAAUGGGGGCAACCCUGAUCCAGCAAUGCCGCGUGUGUGAAGAANGCCUGCGGGUUGUAAAGCACUUUCAGUAGCGAGGAAAAGCUCAAGGUUAAUAACCUUGAGUCUUGACGUUAACUACAGAAGAAGCACCGGCUAACUCUGUGCCAGCAGCCGCGGUAAUACAGAGGGUGCGAGCGUUAAUCGGAAUUACUGGGCGUAAAGCGCGCGUAGGCGGUUUGUUAAGUCGGAUGUGAAAUCCCCGGGCUCAACCUGGGAACUGCAUUCGAAACUGGCAGGCUAGAGUAUGGUAAAGGAA
rnacentral:rRNA from 1 species